UUAAUCUGGAGUUCAGAAUAUAUCAAAUUCAUUGACAAAUCAGUGUUGCUGUACUGUAUAUGGCUACUCAGUUGAAGAUAUGACCCGCUUUCUAAGUUACUCUGUAUAAGAGAUGGUUAACAUAUCUACAUGAGAAAGGGAAGAAGGCAAUUGCUGGCAAACACACAAUUAGCAGUUUGUCAAGGAUAAUUCCAUCUGGAUCAGGUGUCCGAAGGAAGAGGCAAGCUGCCAUUUCUGUACCAAAAUGUGAAUGAAAUUUGCAUGUUGGAUGCUGUAAUCAAGAAGAAACAGCUCUUGACUUAACAAAUUAAACCAUCCACUUAUUUCUUUAAACAUUUUUGAUUGAUUAUGUGUGUGUAUUUCUAUGUCUCUUCCAGCUCUACAACCUCUAGUACAUGCUUACAGUCACAACUUACUCUCAGUUCAGACCAGAGCUGGACUUCCAACCUUCAGUUUAGAUAUCCCAGAGAAUUUUUUAAAAAUAUAUAUUAGAAAAGUGAUAGAUACAGAUGGGAUGUUCCAUGCUAUUGAAAAUGCAGAAAGCAGGCUGAUCCCAUGAAGUCAUACUCCCUACCUCCAACUUCCCUCCCUUUAGUGGAGGCCCCUGGUCUGAGACUCUCAGAGCUGCCAUCCAGGAUCUCACCACCAGACUCGUCUUAGGAAAAGAACUUUGAAGAUGGUGAUCCUUUGGUGCCACCUUGUGACAAAAGCGUGAACUGCAGCUUGAACAUCUCCAGGAAAGUGGAAGGGAAGAGAUGUGAUGGCUUAUUGAUGGGCGUUCUCCGUAUGCUUUAUAUGAAUGGAAUUAUAGAAUAUGUCAUUUGCACAUUUGGCUUCUUUUACUUGGACUAAUGUUUUCAAAGUUCAUCCAUAUUGUAUCAUGUAUUAGUAUUCUAUUCCUUUUUGUUUUCAAAUAAUACACUGCAUUUUAUUUAUUCAUGCAUUAAUAGGUAAACAUUUGGGUUGUUUCCAUUUGGCAUUAUGAAUAAUGAUACUAUGUACAUUAUUAUACUAAUAUUUAUGUAGACAUAUGUUUUCACUUUUCCUGGCUUUGUACCUAGGAGUGGAAUUGCUGAGUCAUAUAGUAACUCUCCGUUGAACUGUUCGAGUAACUGCCAAACUCUUUACAUGACCCUGACAGUGUUGAGAAGUGUAGGCCUAGGCUGUUAUUUUUCUCCUGAUUAGUCUGUGGUUAUGGGUUUUGAGAAAGCAAACCACAGAGCUGAAGUGCCCUUCUCAUCACCUCAUAUUUAGAGGAGGUGAUACCCACGUGACAUCACUGGGUCACUGAAGAUGUUGGCCCUCAUCACAGGGUUAGGGUAGCGUUUGUCUAGUUUCUCCAGUGUACAGUGACUAUUUUCCAUUCACUCACUCUGUUCUUUAGAAGUGAGUCACUAGGUCUGCCCUGUCCUCAGCUAUGAGAGUCAGAAGGAAAGUCUACCUCAUGGAAGCAAGCUCUUCAUACCAGUGGCCCCGCUCAUACCAGGUGCCUGAAGGAAGCAGGUUGUGAAGAUCUGAGUCCUGAUGGCUGCUGAAGCUUCUACUCCAGAUUCAAGGACAACAGUCCUCAGGAGACCCCGCCCCCUCACAUCCCUGGUGGCGUAUGAUACCUGGCACAUAGACCCCUGGUGGAGACUAUAGAGCUGCCAACCUGGAUCUAACCACCAGCUGACAUCACAUUUAUCUCAAUUGUUGUGGUUCUGGUUAAAUGAAAAAGUACCUUUUGCAAAGAGAAAAAAAAAUAAUAAUCAUGAAAUGGUUUGUUUACUAUGACCAAAUCUGCUUGGGAAAUUUCUGUGUAUAUUAAAUGUAAUCCAUUUUAUCUCUUUCCUCAUCACUGUCAAUUGAUGUGCAGUGUGUACUGUAUAGAGGGUCCCUACUACAGAACAAGGUGUUCAUCUUCCAUUGCCCCAACCUUGUACAUGCUGCUCAGACUUUCUCCCACUCUUUGUCUGUCAUUCCCUGUCCAUGACACAGGGCACAACUGCCCAGAUCCCACUCUGACACCCUAUCCUCUCAGUCACCUACCCUCUUCUUGCCCUGCACUGCCCUUUGCAUACCUGACACUGACUGCCAAGUCAGGCCACUGCCACCAAGGUGUUUCAUCUUCCGCAGGCCCCGAAGUAUGUUUUUAUCUUCUUCCUUUACAACUAUCAGUUUUUUUCAGACUGAAUUAGAAUCAUUGUGUAUACAUUAAAAACCUGUUUUGUUUGGGGGUUUUUUUUGAGAUUAUUGUUAUUCUUUUAAAUCUUUGCACACUUGGAAGUUUCAGGAUGGUGAUACGUUGGUGCCACCUUGUGACAAAAGCCUGAACUGUAGCGUAAAUACCAUUGAGCAGGAAAGAGGGCUGUGACUCUCAAUAACCAUACAGAGCUUUCUGAAAGUCAGAACGGAAAAGGAAACUCCUUGGAUAUAGCAUAUUGAUGGGCUCUCUCUGGACACUUUAUACACAUGGAAUCAGGCAAUAUGUGUUCUUUUACAUGUUUGGCUUCUUUUGCUCAGCUUAACGUUCCUGAGCUUAAUUCAGGUUGCAGUAUGUAUCAGUACUCCUAUCUUUUUUUUUAAAGGUUUUUAAAGUUUAAUUCCAGUAUAGUUAACAUACAGUGUUAUAAUAGUUUCAGGUGUACAAUAUAGUGAUUCAACAAUUCUAUACAUUACACAGUGUUUAUCAUAAGUGUGCUUAUCACCUAUUACACCCAUUUCCCCCAUCCACCUCCCCUCCCAACCAUCUGUUUGUUCUCUAUAGUCAAGAGUCUAUUUCUCAGUACUGCAUAUAUUUUUAUUGCCAAAAUAUAUACCAGAUUUUAAUUAUGCAUUCAUUAAUUGGUGGACAUUUGGGGUUUUCCACUUUGGGCUAUAAUGAAUGAUGCUACAUAUACUCUUGUCCAAGUUUUACUGUAAACAUAUGUUGUCAUUUCUCCUGACUGUGUACCUAGGAGUGGAAUUACUGGGUCCUAUGGUAACCCUCUGUUGAAGCAUUUCAAGUACUGCAAGAAUGAAAACAAAGGAAUGGUUACCAGAAGGGAGGGGGAAGUGGGUGAAAUAGGUCAUGGUGAUUAAGGAGUGCACUUGUGGUGAUGAGCACUAGGUGAUGUAUGGAAUUGUUGAAUCACUAUAUUGAACACCUGAAACUAAUAUCACACUUAUGUUAACGAACAGGAAUAAAAAUAAAAACUUAAAAAAAAGAACUGCCAGAAUGUUUUCAUGACCCUGACAUUCUUGAGGAGUGCAGAUGUAGUUUGUCAUUUUUCUCCUGAUUAGACUGUGAUUAUGAGUUUUGAGAAAGAACAUCACAGACUUAAUGUGCUCUUCUUGUCACAUCAUAUCUGUGAAGACAUGAUCCCCACAUAAAUCACUGGGUCACUAAGGAUGGUGACCAUCAUCAGGGUUAUGGUGGAGUUUGCCUAGUUUCUCCAGUGUAUAGUAACUAUCUUCCAUCACCUACCCUACACUUUAUAAGUUCAAUCACUAAGUCUACACUGCCCUCAUGGGUGAGAGGUGGAAUUAAAGUCACCUCAUGGAGGCAGGUUAUCUACAUGUAUUAUUUGUAUAAUUUGAUAAAAACAGUUUGUCUCGGGGCGC